UGGGGAAUUUUGGACAAUGGGCGAAAGCCUGAUCCAGCAAUGCCGCGUGUGUGAAGAAGGCCUUCGGAUUGUAAAGCACUUUUGUCCGGAAAGAAAUCCUUGGCUCUAAUACAGUCGGGGGAUGACGGUACCGGAAGAAUAAGCACCGGCUAACUACGUGCCAGCAGCCGCGGUAAUACGUAGGGUGCAAGCGUUAAUCGGAAUUACUGGGCGUAAAGCGUGCGCAGGCGGUUUGCUAAGACCGAUGUGAAAUCCCCGGGCUCAACCUGGGAACUGCAUUGGUGACUGGCAGGCUAGAGUAUGGCAGAGGGGGGUAGAAUUCCACGUGUAGCAGUGAAAUGCGUAGAGAUGUGGAGGAAUACCGAUGGCGAAAGGCAGCCCCCCUGGGCCAAAUACUGACGCUCAUGCACGAAAGCGUGGGGAGCAAAACAGGAUUAGAUACCCUGGUAGUCCACGCCCUAAACGAUGUCAACUAGUUGUUGGGGAUUCAUUUCCUUAGUAACGUAGCUAACGCGUGAAGUUGACCGCCUGGGGAGU
rnacentral:rRNA from 1 species